ensembl:lncRNA
CACAGGAAAAGUCCCGGCCCACUUCAAGCACUAAACAGAAACAGAUGUCUAAUGCUUCUAAAAGGGCUCCACUAUUUCAGUGAAAUGAGCAACAUAUCUGAAGCCCUUUCCAACAUAACAAACUCAGGAUGGCAUCCACCUCCAUGGUAUCAAUUUGAGGCAUGCUCGGUGGCUCCUUACGCCUUCGUCUUCUACUAUGGGGUGAAAGUUCUGAACCUGUUUGUGGGCUUUCCCACCAACACGCUGGUGAUGUGGCAUAUCGUCAAGCAUAAAAACGAGGGCUCUACGUCUGACAUAUUCAUCUUUAACCUGGCUUUGCUCGAUGCCUUCUUCUGUCUCAUGACUCCUGUGGACAUGCUCAACCGGCUCUGGCUGAAUGACGACUCGACCUGGUACUUCCAACGCUUUUCUUACGGAGUCAAAGACAUGACACCGCUUUUCCUCACCUGCAUCUGCUUGGACAGGUACAUCGCUGUGGUCCACCCCAUCGUGUUCACUGGCAUCCGUGACAACCGCAUCCGAACAGGCAUCUCAGUGGUGGUCUGGGGCCUGGUUCUGGCCUACGCGCUGGCCAAGUGCCUUAUUGGAGUGCUGAGCGUAUCUGAGGUGUUCGGCGGCCUCAUCCUAUUUGCCUUCUUCCUCAUGGUCUUCUGCAACCUGUCCAUCAUCUGGGUGCUGCGCAAAAGCGUGGCAGGCAAAGAGGUCAUGAACCCUGUGAAAAAGAAGGCCUUCAAGAUGGUCACCAUCGUCCUGGCCAUCAUCGUGGUCAACUACCUGCCGCCCGUGGCUCUGAUCCCCUUCGCCUCCACCUUUUCGUUCGUGGACUUUAGAUGUAAGAUCAGCCUCUCUGUCUUCUCCAUCAUGGACCUGAGCUGCACCAUCGAGCCGCUGCUCUACAUGAGCAAGAUGGAGAAACUGGCCCUCUGCCCAUGUCUGAAAGGGCCUGCAACCAAAACCAAUAAUGUUAACGGAUGAAAGCAAAACAUGAGUCAAUUCAGAACAAUUUUCUUAAUUAUAAUGAUUAUAUACACAGUGCUCAGUUGAUAAAGAUCAUCUGCAUCUGUUGAGUAUGUUGUAAACAUCAAUGGAGACCUUUUUAAAAGUCAGUUAAUCAGCAACUAGUUUACAACCGGUCUAUUUUGGGAGCCCUCUAUUUUAUUUUAUUUUUUUAGGAAACAUCUUUAAUAUCCUUUAUUAUUUAUUCCUACAUUAACAUUCGGUUUUGAUUUUAGUCUUUAUUGUAACAUAGUUAAGUAAACUAAAUUUGUUUGAAACUUGUUUUUUUGCUUAUGCUGAUAAUAUGACUGUACAGCCUUUGCACUGUCUUCAACAGAAUGUAGCCUCUAAAUUUAGCUUUUAACCCAUCAUUAGCAGUGAAAACAUACAUAUACAAGUGAGCACAUACUCUACACCCAGUAGCACCCAAAGAGAACCUGAGCUAACCUUUAAUUUAUUGCAUUCCACCUUAAUUGUCCUGGCAUUAUUCAUUUUACAAUUUACAAUUUAGCAUUAGAUGCAGUGAAUUACCAAAGAUCAAAUCGCAGGAAUAAUUAACACUGUAAUAAGGCAAUAGAUGGUGAAUAUGUUUAGAUGGUUUUAUAUGUCUAAUAAAGCCUGGAUUAAAUAGCA